AUUGAACGCUGGCGGCAGGCCUAACACAGGCAAUUCGAACGGUACCAGGAAGAGGUUUGCUUUUUUCCUGCCGAUUGGCGGCCGGGGGGGUAAUGUCUGGGAAACUGCCGGUGGGAGGGGGAUAAUUCCUGAAAACGGUACCAAAUACCGCAUAACUUCGCAAACCCAAAGAGGGGGCCUUUCGGCCCUUUUGCCUUCGGAUUGGCCCAGAUGGGAUUAGCUAGUAGGUGGGGUAACGGCUCACCUAGGCGACGAUCCCUAGCUGGUCUGAGAGGAUGACCAGCCACACUGGAACUGAGACACGGUCCAGACUCCUACGGGAGGCAGCAGUGGGGAAUAUUGCACAAUGGGCGCAAGCCUGAUGCAGCCAUGCCGCGUGUAUGAAGAAGGCCUUCGGGUUGUAAAGUACUUUCAGCGGGGAGGAAGGGAGUAAAGUUAAUACCUUUGCUCAUUGACGUUACCCGCAGAAGAAGCACCGGCUAACUCCGUG
rnacentral:rRNA from 1 species